AUGAACACAGAGUACAGCAGACAUUACAAGCAAAACUGCCUGGGGCUUAAAAGAAUGACGAGAAUUAUUGCCUCCAUUCCACCAUCAGUUCUGUGAGCUCUAGAAAACUAAAAAAGCAAACAUAGAAACCUUAGUUAAGCAUGCAUUUAAUUUUUUAUGGGCAUCAGUAGGAGUUGUCUUCUAGUUCUCUCCUCUGUAAGUAGAUAUCAGUGUGCUUCAGUUAUUUAGGAAUGUAACUGGUCAAUAACAAUAAUAUUUGUAGGUCUGGACUAAUUUGUGCUGGCUUUUCUUCUCUUUCUCUUUUAAGAUCAGCCUGUCGUGAUCAUAAAAUACAUCAGCUGAUCACCAGAAAAAUCGGUGGAAUCUGAUUUCUGACACCUCUGCUGAAGACUGCUAUUUCUAUUCCUGUUACUAUGGAAACAAUUUUGGACCACCAAACAUGCCAUAAGGAACAUAUAAAGCAUCACUUUUUCAACUGAGAUAUCAAGUGGGAAAGAAAGAAAAUUCAUAGAACAAGAAAAUAAAUGGUGAACUUCUGGAUUCUAAACAAAAAAAGAACAGCUAUGCUUGACCGAUUUUUAAGGAAGUAUUUAUAAGGAAGUAGCAAGAAAGCAUAAUGUUUAGAAAGCUGA